rfam:Pan troglodytes isolate Yerkes chimp pedigree #C0471 (Clint) chromosome 3, whole genome shotgun sequence.
UUAUUUAAAACCUGACAGGGAGGAUACCAUGAUCAUGAAGGUGGUUUUCCAAGGGCGAGGUUUAUCCAUUGCACUCUGGAUGUGCUGAUGCCCUGCGAUUUCGCCAAAUGUGGGAAACAACUGCGUGACUUAUGGUAGUGGAGGACUGCAUUCACACUUUCCCCUG